UACGUAGGGGGCAAGCGUUGUCCGGAAUCAUUGGGCGUAAAGCGCGUGUAGGCGGUCCGGUAAGUCGGCUGUGAAAGCCCCGAGCUUAACUCGGGAAGUGCACAAGAAACUGUUGAAUUUGAGUUCCGGAGAGGAAGGCAGAAUUCCCGGUGUAGCGGUGAAAUGCGUAGAUAUCGGGAGGAAUACCAGUGGCGAAGGCGGCCUUCUGGACGGAUACUGACGCUGAGGCGCGAAAGCCAGGGGAGCAAACGGG
rnacentral:rRNA from 1 species